GACGAACGCUGGCGGCAUGCUUAACACAUGCAAGUCGAACGGAAAGGCCCUGCUUUUGUGCGGUGCUCGAGUGACGAACGGGGGAGUAACCCGUGAGUACCCUGCCCUUGACUUUGAGAUAACCUCAGGCAACUGGGGCUAAUACCGGAUAAGAGCUACUGCUGCUUGAUCGGGGUUGGACAGUUUCGGCGGUUGGGGAUGGACUCGCGGCGUAUCAGCUUGUUGGUGGGGUAGUGGCUUACCAAGGCUUUGACGGGUAGACUACCUGAGAGGCUAACAGGACACACCGCAACGGGAGUACGGCACGGACUCCUAUGGGAGGCAGAAGUGGGGAAUAGAGCCCUGUGGACUGAAGGAUGAUGCAGCGAAGCCGCGUGCGGGAUAAGGGCAUUCGGGUUGGAUUCUGCUUUUGUUUGUGAGGAAGCGUGAAUGACGGUACUGGGUAAAGAAGCACCGGCUAACUACGUG
rnacentral:rRNA from 1 species